GACGAACCGUGCGAACGUUGUUCGGAAUCACUGGGCUUAAAGGGCGCGUAGGCGGGCUUAAAAAGUCAGGGGUGAAAUCCCGCGGCUCAACCGUGGAAGUGCCUCUGAUACUGUAAGUCUCGAGGGAGGUAGGGGCGUGCGGAACUUCCGGUGGAGCGGUGAAAUGCGUAGAUAUCGGAAGGAACACCGGUGGCGAAAGCGGCGCGCUGGACCUCUUCUGCGCUGACGGCGCGAAAGCCAGGGGAGCAAAGCGGG
rnacentral:rRNA from 1 species